rnacentral:rRNA from 1 species
AUUGAACGCUGGCGGCAUGCUUUACACAUGCAAGUCGAACGGUAACAGCACUUCGGUGGCUGACGAGUGGCGAACGGGUGAGUAAUACAUCGGAACGUGCCUAGUAGUGGGGGAUAACUACUCGAAAGAGUAGCUAAUACCGCAUGAGAUCUAAGGAUGAAAGCAGGGGACCUUCGGGCCUUGCGCUACUAGAGCGGCUGAUGGCGGAUUAGGUAGUUGGUGGGAUAAAAGCUUACCAAGCCGACGAUCUGUAGCUGGUCUGAGAGGACGACCAGCCACACUGGGACUGAGACACGGCCCAGACUCCUACGGGAGGCAGCAGUGGGGAAUUUUGGACAAUGGGCGCAAGCCUGAUCCAGCAAUGCCGCGUGCAGGAUGAAGGCCUUCGGGUUGUAAACUGCUUCUGUACGGAACGAAAAGCCCUCUUCUAAUACAGGAGGGUCAUGACGGUACCGUAAGAAUAAGCACCGGCUAACUACGUG